UACGUAGGGGGCAAGCGUUGUCCGGAAUCAUUGGGCGUAAAGAGCGUGUAGGUGGCCUGGUAAGUCUGCCGUGAAAGUCCAAGGCUCAACCUUGGGAUGCCGGUGGAUACUGUCAGGCUGGAGUCCGGAAGAGGCGAGUGGAAUUCCUGGUGUAGCGGUGAAAUGCGCAGAUAUCAGGAGGAACACCAAUGGCGAAGGCAGCUCGCUGGGACGGUACUGACACUGAGACGCGAAAGCGUGGGGAGCAAACAGG
rnacentral:rRNA from 1 species